AUUGAACGCUGGCGGCAGGCCUAACACAUGCAAGUCGAGCGGAUGAAGGGAGCUUGCUCCUGUAUUCAGCGGCGGACGGGUGAGUAAUGCCUAGGAAUCUGCCUGGUAGUGGGGGAUAACGUCCGGAAACGGGCGCUAAUACCGCAUACGUCCUGAUGGAGAAAGUGGUGGAUCUUCGGACCUCACGCUAUCAGAUGAGCCUAGGUCGGAUUAGCUAGUUGGUGGGGUAAAGGCCUACCAAGGCGACGAUCCGUAACUGGUCUGAGAGGAUGAUCAGUCACACUGGAACUGAGACACGGUCCAGACUCCUACGGGAGGCAGCAGUGGGGAAUAUUGGACAAUGGGCGAAAGCCUGAUCCAGCCAUGCCGCGUGAGUGAAGAAGGUCUUCGGAUUGUAAAGCACUUUAAGUUGGGAGGAAGGGCAGUAAGUUAAUACAUUGCUGUUUUGACGGUACCAACAGAAUAAGCACCGGCUAACUUCGUG
rnacentral:rRNA from 1 species